rnacentral:misc_RNA from 1 species
GUGAAGAACGUAGCGAAAUGCGAUAAGUAAUGUGAAUUGCAGAAUUCAGUGAAUCAUCGAAUCUUUGAACGCACAUUGCGCCCGCCAGUAUUCUGGCGGGCAUGCCUGUUCGAGCGUCAUUUCAACCAUCAAGCCCCCGGCUUGUGUUGGGGACCUGCGGCUGCCGCAGGCCCUGAAAAGCAGUGGCGGGCUCGCUGUCACACCGAGCGUAGUAGCAUACAUCUCGCUCUGGGCGUGCUGCGGGUUCCGGCCGUUAAACCACCUUCAUAACCCAAGGUUGACCUCGGAUCAGGUAGGAAGACCCGCUGAACUUAAGCAUAUCAAUAAGCGGAGGA